CGGGGUGAGUAAUGUCUGGGAAACUGCCUGAUGGAGGGGGAUAACUACUGGAAACGGUAGCUAAUACCGCAUAACGUCGCAAGACCAAAGUGGGGGACCUUCGGGCCUCAUGCCAUCGGAUGUGCCCAGAUGGGAUUAGCUAGUAGGUGGGGUAACGGCUCACCUAGGCGACGAUCCCUAGCUGGUCUGAGAGGAUGACCAGCCACACUGGAACUGAGACACGGUCCAG
rnacentral:rRNA from 1 species